UACGGAGGGGGCUAGCGUUGUUCGGAAUUACUGGGCGUAAAGCGCGCGCAGGCGGUCUUCCAAGUCAGUGGUGAAAGCCCGGAGCUCAACUCCGGAACUGCCAUUGAAACUGUUAGACUUGAGGACGAGAGAGGUGAGUGGAAUUCCCAGUGUAGAGGUGAAAUUCGUAGAUAUUGGGAAGAACACCGGUGGCGAAGGCGGCUCACUGGCUCGUUUCUGACGCUCAGGCGCGACAGCGUGGGGAUCAAACAGG
rnacentral:rRNA from 1 species